CAGUCGCCACGGUAAUACGUAGGUGGCAAGCGUUGUCCGGAAUUAUUGGGCGUAAAGGGCUCGCAGGCGGUUUCUUAAGUCUGAUGUGGAAGCCCCCGGCUCAACCGGGGAGGGUCAUUGGAAACUGGGAAACUUGAGUGCAGAAGAGGAGAGUGGAAUUCCACGUGUAGCGGUGAAAUGCGUAGAGAUGUGGAGGAACACCAGUGGCGAAGGCGACUCUCUGGUCUGUAACUGACGCUGAGGAGCGAAAGCGUGGGGAGCGAACAGGAUUAGAUACCCCUGUAGUCCCUGUCUCUUAUAC
rnacentral:rRNA from 1 species